GAUGAACGCUGGCGGCGUGCCUAAUACAUGCAAGUAGAACGCUGAAGGAGGAGCUUGCUCUUCUGGAUGAGUUGCGAACGGGUGAGUAACGCGUAGGUAACCUGCCUGGUAGCGGGGGAUAACUAUUGGAAACGAUAGCUAAUACCGCAUGACAACAGUUAUUGCAUGAUAACUGUUUAAAAGGGGCAACUGCUCCACUACCAGAUGGACCUGCGUUGUAUUAGCUAGUUGGUGAGGUAACGGCUCACCAAGGCGACGAUACAUAGCCGACCUGAGAGGGUGAUCGGCCACACUGGGACUGAGACACGGCCCAGACUCCUACGGGAGGCAGCAGUAGGGAAUCUUCGGAAAUGGACGGAAGUCUGACCGAGCAACGCCGCGUGAGUGAAGAAGGUUUUCGGAUCGUAAAGCUCUGUUGUAAGAGAAGAAAGAGUGUGAGAGUGGAAAGUUCACACUGUGACGGUAUCUUACCAGAAAGGGACGGCUAACUACGUG
rnacentral:rRNA from 1 species